UGGGGAAUAUUGGACAAUGGGCGGAAGCCUGAUCCAGCCAUGCCGCGUGUGUGAAGAAGGCCUUUUGGUUGUAAAGCACUUUAAGCGAGGAGGAGGCUACCUGGAUUAAUACUCUGGGAUAGUGGACGUUACUCGCAGAAUAAGCACCGGCUAACUCUGUGCCAGCAGCCGCGGUAAUACAGAGGGUGCGAGCGUUAAUCGGAUUUACUGGGCGUAAAGCGUGCGUAGGCGGCUGAUUAAGUCGGAUGUGAAAUCCCUGAGCUUAACUUAGGAAUUGCAUUCGAUACUGGUCAGCUAGAGUAUGGGAGAGGAUGGUAGAAUUCCAGGUGUAGCGGUGAAAUGCGUAGAGAUCUGGAGGAAUACCGAUGGCGAAGGCAGCCAUCUGGCCUAAUACUGACGCUGAGGUACGAAAGCAUGGGGAGCAAACA
rnacentral:rRNA from 1 species